UACGAAGGGGGCUAGCGUUGUUCGGAAUCACUGGGCGUAAAGGGCGCGUAGGCGGCUUUAUAAGUCGGGGGGUGAAAGCCUGUGGCUCAACCACAGAAUUGCCUUCGAUACUGUAUGGCUUGAGACCGGAAGAGGUAAGUGGAACUGCGAGUGUAGAGGUGAAAUUCGUAGAUAUUCGCAAGAACACCAGUGGCGAAGGCGGCUUACUGGUCCGGUUCUGACGCUGAGGCGCGAAAGCGUGGGGGAG
rnacentral:rRNA from 1 species